UUUUUCCGCUGGACGAACUUGGUGCCUCGGCCUUCGGGCGGUUAUUUUUGGGCGCGGCUUUGCCCGCGGCCUAUUUUCUGCACACGGAGGCCCCUCGCAAAGUCUCACGGCAUUCCGAGCCCGGCGGACGAAGUUGGCCAGCCCCACCCGCCAAGGCUAUAGCCCACCCGUUUUUAUGGCCUUUUUCCGCUGGACGAACUUGCCGCCCCGGCCUUCGGGCGGUUAUUUUUGGGCGCGGCUUUGUCCGCGCCCUAUUUUUGGCACACGGAGGCCCCUCAAAAAUUCUCGCGGCAUUCCGAGUCCGGCGGACGAAGUUGGCCAGCCCCACCCCCCAAGGCUAUAGCCCACCCGUUUUUGUGGCCUUUUUCCGCUGGACGAACUUGGCGCCCCGGCCUUCGGGCGGUUAUUUUUGGGCGCGGCUGUGCCCGCGGCCUAUUUUUGGCACACGGAGGCCCCUCGCAAAGUCUCGCGCCAUUCCGAGUCCGGCGGACGAAGUUGGCCAGCCCCACCCCCCAAGGC
rnacentral:lncRNA from 1 species